UACUGGAAACGGUAGCUAAUACCUUAUACUCCGUAUCUUUUGAUGAGAUACGGGAAACGAUUUAUCGCCAAAAGAUUGGGCUAUCUUCUAUCAGCUAGUUGGUAAGGUAAAAGCUUACCAAGGCUAUGACGGAUAACUGGUUUGAGAGGAUGAUCAGUCACACUGGAACUGAGACACGGUCCAGACUCCUACGGGAGGCAGCAGUGGGGAAUAUUGCACAAUGGAGGAAACUCUGAUGCAGCAACGCCGCGUGGAGGAUGACGCAUUUCGGUGUGUAAACUCCUUUUAUAAGAGAAGAUUAUGACGGUAUCUUAUGAAUAAGCACCGGCUAACUCCGUGCCAGCAGCCGCGGUAAUACGGAGGGUGCAAGCGUUACUCGGAAUCACUGGGCGUAAAGAACACGUAGGCGGAUUUUUAAGUCUUGAGUGAAAUCCUAUGGCUCAACCAUAGAACUGCUUGAGAAACUGAAAAUCUAGAAUCUGGAAGAGGUAGAUGGAAUUAGUAGUGUAGGGGUAAAAUCCGUAGAUAUUACUAGGAAUACCAAAAGCGAAGGCAAUCUACUGGGACAGUAUUGACGCUGUGGUGUGAAAGCGUGGGGAGCAAACAGGAUUAGAUACCCUGGUAGUCCACGCCCUAAACGAUGAAUGCCAGUCGUCGGGAGGCUUAAGUCCUUUCGGUGAUGCACUUAACAGAUUAAGCAUUCCGCCUGGGGGAGUACGGUCGCAAAAUUAAAACUCAAAGGAAUAGACGGGGACCCGCACAAGUGGUGGAGCAUGUGGUUUAAUUCGACGAUACGCGAAAAACCUUACCUAGCCUUGACAUUGAUAGAAUUUCUUAGAGAUAAGAAAGUGCCUUCGGGAGCUUGAAAACAGGUGCUGCACGGCUGUCGUCAGCUCGUGUCCUGGAAAUGUUGGGGUUAAGUCCCCCAACCAAGCGCAACCCUUCGUCCAUAAGUUGCCAUCCAGUUAGGCUGGGGCAUCCUAUGAGAACUGCUCUCUUAAAGGAGGAGGAGAAGGGGAGAGAACACAUUCAAAGUCUUCAUGGGCCCUUAUGGCUAAGGGGUACCCACUUGGUUUAAAGGGGGUUUUAACAAAAGAUUGUCCAGAACCCCCAGGGGGGAAGCUUAUCCUUUAAAAAUAUUCCCCCCUUCCCGAUUGUGUCUUUCGCACCUCCGAAACAAAAAACGGGGGAUCCCCAAAAAUCCGGGAAACAAAAAUGCCGCGGGAAAAAAUUCUCCCGGCUUUUGUUCACCGCCCCCCCCCACCCCCGGGGGGUGUUUUUAUCCCCCCAAAAAAGGGGGCAAAUUUUUUGCUCCCCCUGGGGGGGAAAAAAAAACCGGGGGGGAGAGGGGAAAAAAAAAACAAACGGGGGAGGGGGG
rnacentral:rRNA from 1 species